GACACGUGGAGCAUUCUGAUUUUGAAAAGGUGAAGUCCACCUCAUCAGAAGAAUCCGACGGUCAAAAAUUGAUUCCCGAUUGAUAUGGUGGCUAGAACCGAAUCCUUCUUAUAAAAACUUCAUGGAUUUUGUAUUAGGUUUACCAUCAGAAUUGGAAGAGGAAUUCAGAGAGAAAAAAUGGCAGGUGAAUCAACUUUGUUCAAGUUCUUGAGCCCGGGACGCCGUUUCCAAUCCACGGACAUCCAAGCCGCCGCCGGCUGGGGUGUCGCCGCUGCCACAACUGCUCUAUGGGUCGUUCAGCCAUUCGACUGGAUCAAGAAAACGUUCUUCGAUAAGCCACAAGAGGCAUAAAUUGUUAUUCGACUCGACCCAGCUUUUAAUUUUGUUAAUAAGUAUCAGUUGAUUGCCGCAAAUGGGCAAACUGCAGAGUUCGUUGGAAUAACAUGUUUUGUAAUAGACUUUGUUUUUCAUUAAACUGAGUUGGAAUUUUAUCGUUUUCAAGUGUGGUUGAUAUUUUUUCUUA